GGGGAUGCAUUGCAUCGACAAAAUUGCUCAUUAAAAACUGCAAGCCGAUAAUGAUACUAAUCGUAAAAGCGUAUUAAAAACAAAUGCUAAGUUCAAUCUUGGCGGUCAAAGUUUUGCAUACGCACAACCUGCGUACGCUUACAACUAAGACCUGUUCGUACCACUAUUUUUCCAAACGAUAAGGUACGGGCAAAAACAAAGUUUGGAUAUGAUAAUAGUUUUGGUUUAGAUUAUUAUUUGAAAAAAUAAACCUUGGUUACAACAAAUCCUGUUAGCCGGAGUAUGUUGUAUCGACAAUUAAAGACUGAAGAAGCUUGUAGAUGUUUUUAUAGAUGCAGUUUUGGACGGGAGGUCAUUCCUCCCCAUCUCCACAA
rnacentral:tmRNA from 6 species